CGUUCGUUCAUGCCUCACGCUUAGUCGCAGUCAUGUCUUAUUGUUGCAAUGCCACCUCUCCCAGCCCCCGGGCCGUCCUCUGCGCCGACAACCGCCCGCUGUGCUCCUGCGGCGCACGCUCGUUUCGUUUCCACCGCGACUUCAACUCUCGUUGGUCGUUGCGGCUUCAAUUGCGCUGCCUUCGCUGCUGUUGGCGUCGCUGUUCGCAGCUCGAAGCUGCGCAGUUGCCUUGGCCGUUGCAGCAGCAUCGCAGCGGACUCGGAUUCAGUUGGGGUUUAACAGCCACUCGGGACGGUAGCGCGCGCCGCUUAAACUUGUUGCGAGACCAAUUUUCCGAAAAUCCCAAAUUCUCCGCGGUGCAUUGGCACUUACCAACACACAGAGGCACACCCGCACAUACAUCUAUGUACACCACACCUACACACACAAAUAAUACCAAUACUGGGUUCAAAUCAAAACGGGCCCAAAACCCCCAAUUACAAUUGCCUUCAGUGUCGAUUUGUGCGCCGGUAUCAGAUUAAGAGCUCAGCCUCCGCACUUGUAUCUGGAUUUGUAUCUGAAUCCGCAACUAUAUCUGUAUUUGUAUCCGUGGCCGUGUCCGUGUCCGUGAACCGUAUCCGCGUCGCGCUCUAUUGAUUGCCGUGCCUCUCCAGAGAGAGAGAUCGAGUGACCCAGAGAAACAGAAACAGAAUCUGUGCUUAGUGUCAAAUCGUGGCAAUAAUUGCAACAGCAGCGCCGGCAACAACAACAUUCACCACGGCUGCCACAAUUGCAACAACGCCCGCCGCGAGCAACUACAGUAAAGUGAGCGACUACCCGUACGCUGAUCUCCACCAGCACCAUCACUUCGCUAGCACAGCGCCCCUGACCAGCGCCGAGAGCUUCAAGCUGCGCUCCGAGGAGCCGGUGCCGGGCUUUAGCUCGGCCUCCCCGUGGCCCACGCUGGAGCUGGGCAUGGAGUGGGGACGCAAGCUCUAUCCCACCGCGGGCCCCAGAUCCGCGGGCAGCUUGAUGUUCAGCCUGCCACCCACGGCGGCGGACAUGAAUCAGCCGCGCGGACCGAUGACAUCGCUCAAGGAGGAGCCCCUCGGCGGACGCUGGGCCAUGCAGCCAGUCGUCGAUCAGACCAAUCUUGGCAUCGGGCGCGCCCACUUUGAGAAGCAGCCGCCCAGCAAUUUGCGCAAGUCCAAUUUCUUUCACUUUGUGAUCGCGCUCUACGAUCGCGCCGGCCAGCCCAUCGAGAUCGAGCGCACCGCCUUCAUUGGCUUCAUCGAAAAGGAUUCGGAAUCGGAUUCCACAAAGACCAACAAUGGCAUCCAGUAUCGCCUGCAGCUGCUCUACGCCAAUGGCGCACGACAGGAGCAGGACAUUUUUGUGAGACUCAUCGAUUCAGUAACCAAAGCGGCCAUCAUCUACGAGGGCCAGGACAAGAAUCCCGAGAUGUGCCGUGUCCUGUUGACGCACGAGGUGAUGUGCAGCCGCUGCUGUGAUAAGAAGAGCUGUGGUAACCGCAACGAGACGCCAUCGGACCCCGUCAUUAUUGAUCGCUUUUUUCUCAAAUUCUUCUUGAAGUGCAAUCAGAAUUGCCUCAAAAAUGCUGGCAAUCCGCGGGACAUGAGAAGAUUUCAGGUUGUCAUCUCCACGCAGGUGGCCGUGGAUGGACCACUGCUGGCCAUCUCGGACAACAUGUUCGUGCACAACAACUCGAAGCACGGACGCCGCGCCAAGCGACUGGACACAACGGAAGGUACAGGCAACACAUCCCUGUCCAUAUCCGGUCACCCCCUAGCGCCCGACAGUACCUACGAUGGCCUCUACCCGCCGCUGCCCGUGGCCACGCCCUGCAUCAAGGCGAUAUCACCGAGCGAGGGCUGGACCACAGGUGGCGCCACAGUGAUCAUUGUGGGCGACAACUUCUUCGAUGGGCUGCAGGUGGUCUUUGGCACAAUGCUGGUGUGGAGCGAGCUGAUCACAUCGCACGCGAUACGGGUCCAGACCCCGCCGCGACACAUACCCGGCGUGGUCGAGGUGACGCUCUCCUACAAGAGCAAGCAGUUCUGCAAGGGCUCGCCCGGACGCUUUGUCUAUGUCUCAGCACUCAACGAACCUACAAUCGACUAUGGCUUCCAGCGGCUGCAGAAACUGAUACCCCGGCAUCCCGGCGAUCCGGAGAAGCUACAAAAGGAAAUCAUCCUUAAGCGCGCAGCUGAUCUCGUCGAGGCGCUCUACUCCAUGCCCAGCAGAUCGCCAGGCGGUUCCACGAGCUUCAACUCGUACGCGGGUCAACUGGCGGUUAGCGUCCAGGAUGGCACUGGCCAGUGGACCGAGGAUGAUUACCAGCGCGCCCAGUCGAGCAGCGUCAGUCCCCGCGGCGGCUACUGCAGCAGCGCCUCCACGCCCCACAGCUCCGGUGGCUCCUAUGGCGCCACAGCAACCUCCGCCGCCGUCGCAGCGACUGCGAACGGAUAUGCGCCCGCACCGAAUAUGGGUACGCUGUCCUCAUCGCCGGGCAGCGUGUUCAACUCCACGUCAAUGUCCGUGUCAACGCCUUGGCAUUCGGCCCUCGUGCAGCAUCACCAUGUCUCCGCCGCCCACCCGCAUCAUUAUCCCCAUCCGCACCAGCCCUGGCACAAUCCUGCCGUCUCAGCAGCGACCGCGGCGGCCGUUUAAGCGCAGCAGGCACCAGGCAAUGAGGACGAAGCAGAGCAACAGCAACAACAGCACGGAGCUUGGAGCAGCUAACAGGCCCCCACAGACACACACACACGCACACACACACACACACACACACACAUGGAAAGCACAACCUUAUCGGCAGGCAAGCAGAGACGCCCACAAAAAAAUCACAUUGACUGGCGCCUGCUGACAAUGGGCACCGCCGCUGAUAACGCUGCAUCCAACUCCAGCGACGGCGACGGCGACGGCGAUGACUCUGAUGAGUGGGUGUAGCUGGUGAUUGAGAUUCCGACGUCAUAAAACACAUCCACCACAACAACAACAUCAACAACAGCAACAACAACAACAUCAACACACAACCAACACUUGUUUAACGGAGUCAGCAGCUUGAGCUUCAACCCAUUCGCCCUGCCCACCUGCAACACACAGGGCUAUAGCACCAGUCAGCUGGUGACAUCAACCAAAUAAUAUUACUAUUAAGGGAAGCUAUUGGCCCACACGCUCCGAGAUCCCCGCUCGAAUGACAAAGAUAUGAACAGAAAGACGCUCGAAAGUGCAAUAAGCGAUGCAAAUGUUUCCAAACUCAACGAUAUUUCAAAUACACUAAAUAUUUAUUGUAUAAAUAUGCAAAAUGAGAACAAGUUGUUUAUUUUUGAUUGAUUACCUUUUGAUAAAUGUCCUUGUAAAAAAAUACACUAAAUGUUUUAAGUCCAUAUCAAAUAACUGAAUACAUAUGAAUACAACAGCAACUCAUAUCAUACGUGGACUGCGGCCCGCUCUAUAAACUAAGACCUAAGAUAGUCCGGUGUCAAUAAACAUGAACCGACCAUUUCUUGGCAAAGUCCUGGCCGGUUCCGGUUAGUUGCACACUUGAGAUUUGCUUGAUUAAUCGAUAUAUGUACAUAUAUAUAUAUAUAUAUCAAAUAUUUAUUGGAUGUAGUUAUCGGAACUGUGAAUAGAACAAAAUAUACCAAUUUACAUACACACCUAUGCUAGAUACUUAUGAUGAUCCGAGAGUCAUACGAAAAUAAAGUUAAAUAAAUUUUGGAUAUAUCUAAAUGCUUGUAUACGAAAAUUAAAUACCGAAAAAAAAACAAGAUAUACAAAUUAAUAUACAUAUAUUAUUUAUUUGGAGAUCGAUUAAUCAAAUUAUACAUAUUUCCAGUCGUACUCAUAUCUCUCAUAGACGAACCAUAAUCAAAAUGAUAUAUACCUUACAAAUAACAAUUUACAAAAAAUAUAAAUAAAAUAAAAUAUGGCUGGGCUGCUUACGAAUAGCUAAUUAUACCCAAAUACAUUCAGCCAGUUGAAAUUUUGCAUUAUAUUCAAUUUGAAAAAAUUAACUAAGCAUUAACGAUAAAAGCUAUCAAAGUUUUUGGCAGUCAUAAGGUGCACUUAAUCGAUCCCAUCAGAACACACAAUUGCAUUAAAUAACUUAACAUAAAGUCGUAAGUCUAGAGUCCCUUCAUAGGAAUCAACACAUCCGCUAUUCAAAAUCGAAGAUUAAUCAACUACCGAACAUUUGUUGACUAGAGAUUAAGCGUAUAUACAUAUAUACGAAUACAUAUAGAAACAUAUACAUAUUAUAAAAUAUAGACGAUAUUUGGGGUUGCAUAUACAUAGUAAGAUUAUUGUUUAUUACUCGAUCUGUAGGGUUUAUUGUAUUGAUAUUGUAUUAUAUCUAUUGAAAGCUAAACAGAAGCAAAAAAAAAACAAAUAAAUAAAUAAAAAAAUAAUAAUAAUGCAUUAUUGAUACAAAUCAUAUUUCUAGUUGUAAGCAUUGCGUAAGCCACACAAAUUAGCUCCAGAAAUCGAUUUGUAAAUUAUACUUCUAGUAAUGCUCUCUGUUUUGUAAAUCUCAACAAGUUAUUUAAAUAAAAUUUAUUUAAAACAUAAAUAAA